rnacentral:tRNA from 1 species
GGGGUUGUGGCUUAGUGGUAAGCGCUCGCCUAGCACGUGCGAGGCGCUAGGUUCUAUCCUCAGCACCA